GUACUACAGAGGAGUCCCACAAUAGGAUGAAACGACCGUCCAGUGC
rnacentral:hammerhead_ribozyme from 1 species